AAAAAAAAAAAAAAAAAAAAAAAAGAAAGCUCCACUGAAAAGUUCCCCCUGGCAGCAAAAUGUGCAGCAAAUCCUUGUCUUCAAGGAAGCUAACCACCUUGAAUGUUUAAGCGGAAAGAGUAUUAAUCUACCUAGAGCAUCUCUUCCCUCCCUGCCUGCCUAUUUGUCUGACCUGUGGUCCUUCAUUCGGGAGGCGGAGGCUAGAAGAUCAGGAGUUCAAAGCCAGCCUGAGCUACAUGAGACCUUGUCCGGAACAAUCCUACAGCUGACAUCAUACUUAAUGGCAAAAAGUGGCUGCCUAUUCCCCAAGAUUAGCGGCAAAGGUGUGAGCUCCAACUCUUCUCCGUCGCUGUAUGAGUGGCCCCAGACUGCGCAAUAAGCAGCUAGGUUGCUGCCUUGACUCCAUCCCGAUUUAUUCCCAUCCUCUCCCAUCCUCAAAAGAGACUGAGCUCAGCCCUGGAUGGCACGUCUCUAUUAACUCCGCCACCACUGGGACCUGGGGAAGAGGAGGAUGGAGAGGUGGAAUGCUGUUUUCUGGAUGUGAUGUGAGCACUGCAGUCAGCUCACGGCAUCUGAGGUGACCCAUCUGCACAGUAUCAGACUAGCCAACGUCCCGGCACAGACAGCGGAGAUGACCUGCGAGCCCCACUCUUUCUUUCCUGAGGAGCUAUUGACCGUGAGUAGUUGCCAGGGGAGGAAGAAUUCACUUCUAAGGAUGUGGCCACUGGUAGGUUUUCCAUGCUCCACAGGAUGGCCUCACAUCUGUGCACAUACAGUCAGCAAUAACUGCGUGUGUGUGUGUGUGUGUGUGUGUGUGUGUGUGUGUGUGUGUGUGUGAAAGAGAGAGAGAGAGAGAGAGAGAGAGAGAGAGAGAGAGAGAGAGACAGCAGGUUGGAAAGGGGCAUGUUGAAGGAACACGGGAGCAGGGAAAUAGGGUAGAUAUGAUCCUAUUUCACUAUGCAGAUAUGUAUACACAUGUAAAUAUGCACACACACACAUGCAUGCACGCACGCAGGCACAUGAAUUUAUGGUGAUUGCCAGGAGAGUAUCACCUCUGGUAGGUGUCAAAACACCAGUCCACUGACUAAAGUUCUUAGGGUACUUGCUUCUGCAGCCCCUAGCCUGAUCCUCCUGUAAACAUCUCUUCCUUUCCAAUGGUCGAAAGGCCAUCUGGAGAUACUAAGUAAGUAAGUAGCAACCCCAGGGAGCUCUGCUGUCUCUUCCUCAACGUUGUCGGUCUCUUGGACAUUGACUUUCUGUGCGAUAGGCCUGAGUCUGCUAAUGUUUGUUUCAGCCACAGAUGAUGUAACUAUUAUGAAAUCCCAGGGAAUUUUCAUACCGACUAGGAACGAACUGGUAAAGUCAGCAAGGUCACAGGGAGUAAAGACAGUAUAUGAAAGAAACUUUUUUUUCCUUUCAAAUAAGUGGCUUAUGAAGCUUUACGAAAUUCCGUUUGGGGCCAACAAGAUGACUCAGCAGGUAAAGGCACUCGCCACAGAGUCUGAUGACCUGAGCUCAGUAUGCGGUGGGGGGACAGAGACAGUUCUGCAAACAGUCCUUUCACCUCCAAACGUGCCACACCACACAAAUGCCCACACACAUGCAAACAAACGGAGCUUUAAAAGGACCUCAUCUACAAUAGCAUUAAGAGGGAAAAGAUCGGAAAGCGAGAGAGAAACAGGUGUAAAAGAAUCCAUAGUUCUGUUUAUAUAACAGGAUGGGGGUGGGAGGACGGAUUCCUGCUAGGCAAGCGAGCGGCUGACUGCCUGGGGUGGGAUGGGAAAGGGAUGACUGAUGACUAGGUGUCUUAGUGUUGCUACUGCAGUGCUAACACACCAUGACCAAAAGCAACUUGGAGAGGAAAGAGCUUGCUCUCUUCACAUAUCUGUCCACAUAGCAGCUCUCAGUGGAAGCAGUCAAACAGAGCAGGAACUUAGAGGCAGGG
rnacentral:sRNA from 1 species